GAUGAACGCUGGCGGCGUGCCUAAUACAUGCAAGUCGAGCGAACAGACGAGGAGCUUUCUCCUCUGACUUUAUCGGCGGACGGGUGCUUCACACGUGGUUAACCUACCUAUAAGACUGGGAUAACUUCGCGAAACCGGAGCUAAUACCGGAUAACAUGUUGAACCUCAUUGUUCACCAGUUAAAUACGGUCUUUCUUUGACUUAUAGCUUGAUACGCCCCGCAUUAGCUAGUUGGUAAGGUAACGGAUUACCAAGGCAACGAUGCAUACCCGACCUGAGAGGACGAUCGGUCACACGGGAAAUGAGACAAGCACCCGCACUGGGAGGGAGGCACCAGUAGGGAAUCUUCGGCAAUGAGCGGAAGCGAGAAGUAGAAAAGCCGCGAGAGCGAAGAAGGUCUACGGAUCGUAAAACUCUGUUAUUAGGGAAGAAUAAAUCUGUAAGUAACUAUGUGAGUAUUGACGGUACGUAAUAAGAAACUCACGGCAAAUCCGGUG
rnacentral:rRNA from 1 species